UACGUAGGGACCGAGCGUUGUCCGGAAUCAUUGGGCGUAAAGAGCGUGUAGGCGGCUUGUUAAGUCUUGCGUGAAAUCUCGGGGCUCAACCCCGAGCGGUCGUGAGAAACUGGCAGGCUAGAGUGCGGGAGAGGAGAGUGGAAUUCCUGGUGUAGCGGUGAAAUGCGCAGAUAUCAGGAAGAACACCCGUGGCGAAGGCGGCUCUCUGGAACGCAACUGACGCUGAGACGCGAAAGCGUGGGGAGCAAACAGG
rnacentral:rRNA from 1 species